rnacentral:rRNA from 1 species
AUUGAACGCUGGCGGCAGGCCUAACACAUGCAAGUCGGGCGGUAGCACAGGAGAGCUUGCUCUCCGGGUGACGAGCGGCGGACGGGUGAGUAAUGUCUGGGAAACUGCCUGAUGGAGGGGGAUAACUACUGGAAACGGUAGCUAAUACCGCAUAACGUCGCAAGACCAAAGAGGGGGACCUUCGGGCCUCUUGCCAUCGGAUGUGCCCAGAUGGGAUUAGCUAGUAGGUGAGGUAAAGGCUCACCUAGGCGACGAUCCCUAGCUGGUCUGGGAGGAAGACCGGCCACACUGGAACUGAGACACGGUCCAGACUCCUACGGGCGGCAGCAGUGGGGAAUAUUGCACAAUGGGCGCAAGCCUGAUGCAGCCAUGCCGCGUGUAUGAAGAAGGCCUUCGGGUUGUAAAGUACUUUCAGCGGGGAGGAAGGUGUUGUGGUUAAUAACCACAGCAAUUGACGUUACCCGCAGAAGAAGCACCGGCUAACUCCGUGCCAGCCGCCGCCGUAA